GGAAUAUUGGGCAAUGCCCGCAAGGGUGACCCAGCAACGCCGCGUGGAGGAUGAAUGUCGUAAGAUUGUAGACUCCUGUUAGGGGGGAAGAACAAUCCCGAUCGAAUCGGGACAUGACUGUACCCCCAGAGAAAGCUCCGGCGAACUACGUGCCACCCGCCGCGGUAAUACGUAGGGGGCUAGCGUUGUCCGGAUUUACUGGGUGUAAAGGGCGCGUAGGUGGAUUUGCAAGUCAGAGGUGAAAUCUUCCCGCUCAACGGGAAAACUGCCUUUGAUACUGUAAAUCUUGAGUUCGGAAGAGAGAGACGGAAUUCCAGGUGUAGUGGUGAAAUACGUAGAUAUCUGGAAGAACACCAGUUGCGAAGGCGGUCUCUUGGUCCGAUACUGACACUCAGGCGCGAAAGCGUGGGUAGCAAAC
rnacentral:rRNA from 1 species